UUAGCUCUCUUUGCCUUUUGGCUUAGAUCAAGUGUAGUAUCUGUUCUUUUCAGUUUAAUCUCUGAAACUACUCUACGGAGUAGAAUCGUGAUUAUCCUAAUUUUUGUCUCUCGGCUGACUUUCCUCUGGGCUUGCCCAUGAUCGUCGGCCACAGUGUCCCUGGUAUUACACUGCCUCCAGGCGAUGCGAACCCUC
rfam:Podospora anserina genomic DNA, chromosome 1.